UGAUACACUUUUCAUGUUUCUGGCAAAGACUGAAAAGACUAAGUCAAAUUGUGUGGGGGAGGGAGGAGACCGGCUGGGGAGGGGCGACCAGGCUUCUGCUGCAGUGCUGUAAGGAGGGUUAAUUGGGGGGACCUGAGCUCACUGAUAACACUGGCUUCGUUGGGCAAAAAGCAGACGUGAAUUUAAGUCACUGUAGUCUGAGUCCUCUUUCCCGCCUGAGCACCGUCUCCCUAUUACGUUGGAGGCAGGCGGGUGCGCUUCUGUACCCCACACAGAACAGGAGACUACUGCCUGCCCUGGAUCUAAGGAGGUUUGAAAGGGCAGAGGAUAUCCAAAGGCGAGGGCGAACACCAAAGCGAGUCAGGAUUGCACUGCCUAUACCCCCUUUCUGCCCCUGCGCGGGUUCAUUUGGGGGCAAAAAAUGUGGGCUUGGGUGAGGGAGCUGGGGAGGGAACGGGCGGUCAGGAUUGGGUACCAGCUCCCUAUUGCAUUGAAAGCAGGCUGGUCUCUGGCCCAGGUAAAAAAGAGAAGGAACACGCCUGGGUUCCCCGCAAGUCAGUGUGAAGGUGGGAGGCACCUGCAAGUCACUGGAAAGGAAAAGGGAGGGUAAAAGGACCCCCCGCAGGUCCUGUUCUGCGCUUCUCACACCACAGCCACGCCCUCUAGCCAUUUAGAUUCAGAAAAUGGUGGGCAAUGGGGAAUGCUGGGGAGGUGGGCGGGAACCCUGCGUGGGUGUCAGCUUCCUAGUGCGGAGGAUGUGGACGUGUGGAGCGAAAGAUGGAGAAAGCGAGGGAAAAGAUGGUCUUUUUUCACAAGAAAAUUCCUGACACAAUAACAUCAGAAGACCAUUCUUCAAGGCCAUGGCAAUGGCAGCCUGAUGGAUGCUGGUUGGGCUGGAUUCCAGUUGGAGCGAGAGAAGUUUCCAGAGGCUCACUGUGCCAGUCUGACAAGACAGGAAGAAUCCACCCGCUGGUGCUCA